GAGAGUUGGCGCAGGUGGUUGCAGAUCAGUUCAAUUAUGGCUGAUUUGAGGAAAGUCCGGGCUCCCGAAAGACCAAACUUGCUGGGUAACGCCCAGUGCGAGCGAUCGCGAGGAUAGUGCCACAGAAAGAUACCGCCAAGAUUAGGGACUGGGGACUAGGAACUGGGGACUAGGAAAGAAUUUUCCCUGUACCUAAUACCCAAUCCUCGAUCCCUAAUCCUUGGUAAGGGUGCAAAGGUGCGGUAAGAGCGCACCAGCAGCGUCGAGAGGCGCUGGCUCGGUAAACCCCGGUUGGGUGCAAGGCCAAAGGAACUAUGGUUGGUCUUUUACCAGUUCCGCAUAAAUAGAGCCGCUAGAGGCGUUUGGUAACAAGCGUCCCAGAUAGAUAACCACCCUCUUGAUGAAAGAGAACAGAACCCGGCUUACUACUGACUCUCUCCC
rnacentral:RNase_P_RNA from 1 species